CCUACGGGCGGCAGCAGUGGGGAAUAUUGCACAAUGGGCGCAAGCCUGAUGCAGCCAUGCCGCGUGUAUGAAGACGGCCUUCGGGUUGUUAAGUACUUUCAGCGGGGAGGAAGGGAGUACAGUUAAUACCUUUACUCAUUGACGCUACCCGCAGAAGAAGCACCGGCUAACUCCGUGCCAGCAGCCGCGGUACUACGGAGGGUGCAAGCGUUAAUCGGAAUUACUGGGCGUAAAGCGCACGCAGGCGGUUUGUUAAGUGAGGUGUGAAAUCCCCGGGCUUAACCUGGGCCCUGCAGCUGAUACUGGCAAGCUUGAGUGGCGUAGAGGUAGGUAGAAUGCCAGGUGUAGCGGUGAAAUGCGUAGAGAUCUGGAGGAAUACCGGUGGCGAAGGCGGCCCCCUGGACGAAGACUGACGCUGAGGUGCGAAAGCGUGGGGAGCAAACAGGAUUAGAUACCCUAGUAGUC
rnacentral:rRNA from 1 species